GGAUGUGGCUCAGUGGUAGAGCGCUUGCUUAGCAUGUGUGAGGCACUGUGUUCAAUUCUCAGCACCA
rnacentral:tRNA from 1 species